GUUGAAGAAGGGACCCCCUUGGUGCCUAAACUGACUUUGAUGUUCAUGAGAAAGAAACUAUCAGGUCCAGCCACAAAGAGUUUCUAUGUAAUCUGAGCUUCAUCCAAUUUUCUCAAUCUACAAGUUUGAGAAAGAUGAUAUUUUUUUCUUUAAAGCAUUUGGAAUCUGCAGUGGGAAAGCUCUAUGUUUCAUCCCAUAUAAAUUCUGUUACUCAUGCAUGGCUGGAGAAGGAUAGUAACUUAAAGGAAGCUGCUCAGAGGUCAUCAUAUACAUAGGAGGAAGUCCAGGAGCCUCUGAUCCACCAGUGAAGUGCACAGUGGAGCAGUGAAGUGCUCCAAAGAGGAAGCAAUGCUCUGUGCAAAACUAGGCAAAGGCAUCCACAAGAGAAGGGUUAGAAAGUAUCCAUUGGGUUGAGGACAUUAUUAUUAGUGAUAUUCAAAAUCAAGAGUAUUAUAGGAGGGCUGAGUGUGGCUCCAGGUCACCAGCACCAGGAGAAAGAAGUGGAAAGAGAAUGGGUGAACGAUUUUCAAGAGGCUUGGGCAAAGGAAUAGAGCAAGGUAAUACUGUUACUAGAGGGAUGUUUAGAGUGAAGCAAGGGUUUUCAGACAUGAAUAGGUAAAAUGAAUGGGUGAACUAUUGAUAAACAUUCCUCAUUCAUAUUAGUGAGUUAAAAAGUCACAUCUCACAUCUCUGUUUAAACCUAACUCUACUUCUAAUUCUAAAACAUUUUCUAGAUUUUUACCUCAUUCCUGUGAGGUUAGAUUUUAACCUUUCUAUGUGCAGGGGGGUGUCUUUUCUCUAUGUUCCCUAACACAAAAUGGACACCAAGAACACAGUAGGAAUGUAAUAAAUAUUUUAUUGAUAUUUAGCAACAAUGGACUUCUAGAUUGUUUGAUGGGAAAUGAGAUUCUGAGGAAAAUACAUAGUACAGUAUUACAUAACAGAGAUAGGAAUUUUACAGGAAUUUUUUCAGAAAUAAUGAUAGGAUAAAUUAGAAAUUAGAGAAGUAAUUCUAUUUACAAGAAUUCUGAUACGCUUGACUAGGGAGACCUUAGAACAUUAAUCAGUAAAUAUUUUAAUAUAACUUUCUGGGCGGCUAGCAAUUAUCAUAUUAUGAGAGUAUAAAAUUGCACAGCUGUAUUAUGUCAUAAAAGACUAACAUGUUCUUGCACUUGAAUUUUUCACUUUUUUUGUGAUUAGUAUAUAUUAUUUAUAGAGCAUUGUGGCAUUUUCACACAUUACACUUUGAUUAUGUUUAUCCCAUUAUCCACCCUUUCUCUCUUGCCUUCCUAAUCACCUCAUCUUCUCUAAGAAUCUCCCUUCUACUUUCAUGUCAGGUGUUAUCUUUGCUUCAUGUAUUGAUCUUAUUAAUGCAAAUAAAUUACUACUAGUAGAGCACCUCUGCUUGUAUCAUGUUUAAUUUUCACAUUAGGCAUUUAAUUCUAAUACAGCUCAGAAAUUUAGGCUGGGAGCUGCAUUUAUUCAUACUUAAUGACAGAACUGGAUUUAGAAUUCAGUUUUGCUACUUCUCAGGCUGAGAAUUUUGCACAAUAAAAGCUUAAUAAAGGCAUGUGUGACAUUUACAUUUUAAGUAUUUAACUGCAUACGGUCUUGCGAGUUUUUGUGUUUGCCUUCCUUUCUGUGUUUUUUUUCAUGUGUUUACAAUAAUCCACUCACCUAAAUAUAACUGACUAUUCAACACAUCUAUUAAAUAUGUAUUAAUUAGAAAGCUUAUACGUAGUGAAGAUUUGAGGACAACCUCCAUCUGCAAAGCCCACUCAGGUUGCCUGAAACCCUUGUCACUUUACAGGGAUGGAACUUGGUAGGUUUGUUUGACUUUAGCACUUUUUGUCUUAGAUCUGUGUUCAAAUUCAUUUUAUACAGGAAACUAACUGAAUUUUUUUGAUCAUAGAAGCAGCAUAUCAUAGAAGCACUGUGACUAUCAGAGACCUUGUUCAGGGGAUGGUUGGUGACUAGAAGGAUGGAGGUAGUCUUUGGGUCCUGAAUUCCAUGAAUACCAAUUUUGUCUCUAACUGUUUACAUGCAAAGCAGAUUUGGCCACAGUAAAAAAAACACAAAUGUAGUGAAAAUUAUGGUAAUAAAUCAGAAACACAAUUUCAAACAAUAGGAAGUUUUAAUCUUCAGGGAUCAUUGAAGGAUGUAUUUAGCUUUUACAAAUAGCAUGAUAAAAACUGCAUGGUAGUUGCAAUAAAAAGACCUGAAGAUCAAUGCAAUAGAUUAGAAGAUGCAGAAACAACUACAACCACACUCAACCACUUUAUCUUUGACUAUAGGGCCAGAUACCAUCACUGGAAGAAAGAUAACAUCUUCAAUAAAUGAUGCUGAAAAAACUGACUUUCCACAUUCCAAAGAUUAAAUAUAGACCCAUAUCUCUCACCAUGCACUAAACUAAAAUCAAAAUGGAUCAAAGAUCUCAAUAUUAGAACAGAAACACUAAAUCCGCUGGAAGAUAAAAUAGUUAGAAGUCUGGAAGACACUGGUGUAGGAAAAGACUUUAUGAACAAAAUUGCACAGGAUAUUUCAUAAAGAAUCAACAACUGGCAUCUCAUCUUACUUAAAAAAAAAAACUUUUUCACAGCAAAAGAAACCAUAAACAGAUUGAAGAGACAACCCAUAGAAUGGGAAAGAUUUUUGCCAACUAUUCCUCAAAGGACUUAUAUCUAUAAUAUAUAAAGAAUUUUAAAAACUGGACCUCCAAAUUUAAAGGCUCAAUCCAUAGGUGGGCAGCUGAAUUGAAGAGACACUUCUCAGAUGAAGAACGAUAAAUAGGAUAGAAAUAUUUGAAGAAAUGUUCAACAUCACUGUUCAUUUGAGAGAUAAAGUAGGACUUGCAGUUUCUGCCCUUGAAUGUAAGAAGUCUGGAAGUUGCCGCUGUGCCCUAACAGAGCUGAACACACUAAAAAUCAACCCUUCUUGGAAGUGAAGACACAGAGCAAUCCCCUCUCCUCACAAAUUAGACAGAUGGAGAAGUUUGAUAUGGAGAAUCAGAACUUACCUGGGACAGCAACCAUGAGCAAAACCAAGUUUACAGAUCUGGCUCCCUGUGACUUCUGGCUCUUGCCUUAAGACAAAAGAAUAAAUUCAGCACAUUGAAGGAGAGAUGACAGCUCACAAAAUGGAUCUCCAGAUCUGUGUCAGAAAGCGGCAAGAACAAUGGGUUAAGUGUUUGAAGCAAGGGGGAGUAUGUGGAGAGGGAUGAAUGGCAAUGUGUCUUACUGUAAAAUGUUUUAGAAGUUAAAGAUUCACCAUAAUUUUCAAUCACAUCUCAUGCAUGUGGGAAGUCCAUUAUUUUGCAUCUUGAAAUAGGGAACAAAUCAGAUUUUCAUUGUACAUACGUGGUUAGUGGUAGUGAAAAGGCAAGUGGGAGCCAACGCUGUGCAAAGCCCACACACAGCUGUGGUUAUUGUGUUUGUCUCAGAAAUCAUAAUAGGAUUAAGGGGAUAUAUAUAUAUAUAUGCAUAAUCUAUAGGAUAAAUUUAUUGCUUAUGAUAAUAAGAGAGGAUGCUACCCUUGAGCAAAGGAGAGAUAUGAUCAGUGCUG
rnacentral:lncRNA from 1 species